UAUUGGUCAAUGGCCGGAAGGCUGAACCAGCCAAGUCGCGUGAGGGAAUAAGGCCCUAUGGGUCGUAAACCUCUUUUGUCAGGGAGCAAAGGCGUCCACGUGUUGUCGAAAGGAGAGUACCUGAAGAAAAAGCAUCAGCUAACUCCGUUCCAGCAGCCGCGGUAAUACGGAGGAUGCGAGCGUUAUCCGGAUUUAUUGGGUUUAAAGGGUGCGUAGGCGGAGUGUCAAGUCAGCGGUAAAAUUUCGGGGCUCAACCCCGUCGUGCCGUUGAAACUGACACCCUUGAGUGAGUGAGAAGUAAGCGGAAUGCGUGGUGUAGCGGUGAAAUGCAUAGAUAUCACGCAGAACUCCGAUUACGAAGGCAGCAUACCGGCGCCCAACUGACGCUGAAGCACGAAAGCGUGGGUAUCG
rnacentral:rRNA from 1 species